CAGAAACCAGAGGCAAACCCCAUUCGUCGUCUCUCACCCUCAAGAUGCAGAUCUUUGUGAAAACCCUCACAGGCAAGACCAUCACCCUUGAGGUUGAAAGCUCUGACACUAUUGACAAUGUCAAAGCAAAGAUCCAAGACAAGGAGGGAAUUCCCCCGGACCGACAAAGGCUGAUCUUUGCUGGCAAGCAGCUUGAGGACGGGCGGACACUCGCUGAAUACAACAUCCAAAAAGAGUCCACUCUCCACUUGGUUCUCAGACUCCGUGGUGGCAUGCAGAUCUUUGUUAAGACUCUCACAGGGAAGACCAUCACAUUGAGGUUGAGAGUUCUGAUACAAUCGAUAAUGUCAAGGCAAAGAUCCAGGACAAGGAGGGCAUACCCCCAGAUCAGCAGAGGCUCAUCUUUGCCGGCAAACAGCUAGAGGAUGGCCGCACCCUUGCCGAUUACAAUAUCCAAAAGGAGUCUACUCUUCACCUGGUGCUCCGUCUGCGUGGUGGAAUGCAGAUCUUUGUAAAGACGCUUACUGGGAAGACAAUCACCUUGGAGGUGGAAAGCUCCGAUACAAUUGACAAUGUCAAGGCAAAAAUCCAGGACAAGGAGGGUAUCCCCCCAGAUCAGCAGAGGCUCAUCUUUGCAGGUAAACAGUUGGAGGACGGAAGAACUCUUGCAGACUACAACAUUCAAAAGGAAUCUACCUUGCACUUGGUUCUCCGUCUGCGUGGUGGAAUGCAAAUUUUUGUGAAGACUUUGACCGGGAAAACCAUUACUUUGGAAGUGGAAAGCUCAGACACAAUUGAUAACGUCAAGGCAAAGAUUCAGGACAAAGAAGGCAUUCCCCCAGACCAGCAGAGGCUUAUCUUUGCAGGAAAGCAGCUUGAGGACGGCAGGACACUGGCAGAUUACAACAUUCAGAAAGAGUCGACUCUGCAUUUGGUGCUCCGUCUACGUGGUGGGAUGCAGAUCUUUGUGAAGACACUUACUGGAAAGACCAUAACCUUGGAGGUAGAGAGUUCUGAUACAAUUGAUAAUGUGAAAGCAAAGAUUCAGGACAAGGAAGGCAUUCCUCCAGACCAGCAGAGGCUCAUAUUUGCUGGUAAGCAGCUUGAAGAUGGGAGGACUCUGGCGGAUUACAACAUUCAAAAGGAGUCGACCCUUCACCUUGUCCUUCGCCUCCGUGGUGGUUUCUGAAGUUCUGAGUGAUCGUGGUGGUGCCAUCCAUUCUGCUUUGUUUCCAGUUCUAUUUGGCUGUUUGCCUGUUAUUCGUACUCUUUAGUUUUAUGUGGUUAUGUACUCAAUAAUUCUUACUCUUUAAAAUGGCCAAUGGAUGGCUCAUCUGAUGACUGUUUUCUAAUUAUAGUUGUUAAGUUGAAUAAAUGGCAAAGACAUUUUGUCCAUUUGCUCUCUGUUUGCAUUUAUAUAAUUCCAUUCCAUCAAGAUUGCAUCUCCUCUCUUAU